rnacentral:SRP_RNA from 1 species
GCCAGGCGUGGUGAUGCAUGCCUAUAGUCCCAGCUACUUGGGAGGCUGAGGUGGGAGGAUCAUUUGAGCCCAGGAGUUCGAGGCUGCAGUGAGCCAUGAUCGUGCCACUGCACUCCAGCCUGGGCAACAGAAUGAGACUCCGUCUCCA